UGGCAAGUCCCACACUGUGCCAUGCAAGGUGACAGGCCACUGUGGCUCUGUGCUGGUGCAUCUCAUCCCUGCACCCAGAGGCACUGGCAUUGUCUCUGCUCCUAUGCCCAAGAAGCUGAUGCUGCUGGCCGGUAUAGAUGACUGCUACACUUCAGCCAGAGGCUACACUGCCAACCUGAGCAACUUGGCCGAGGCCAGCAUUGGUGCCACCUCCAAGACCUACAGCUACCUGACCCCUGACCUCUGGAAAGAGAUUGUUCAGGUCUCCUUAUCAGGAAUUCACUGACCAUCUUGUGAAAACCCACACUAGCCUGCUCAGAGGAGCAGGGUUUGACUGUGGCUACCAUAUAAGGGUUUUUAUACACGAAAAAUAAAUGAAUUAAGUCUGGUUUU
rnacentral:lncRNA from 1 species